rnacentral:rRNA from 1 species
AACGCACAUUGCGGCCGCGGGUCACUCCCGCGGCCACGCCUGUCCGAGGGUCGGCUACUCUGGUACUCGCCGGAAGCAUCAUCGCAUCCGGCGCGCUGGCGCGUCGCUCGCCGUUUCACCACGGCGACCGUCCGCCUCGAGACUGCAGCUUCGCUAACGUCCUCCGGCCUCACCGGGUCGGCGGCUCCAAAAACCGUUGCCGGUACUCGGGGACGUGGUUCGGAUCGAACUACUUCUCGCCCCGACGAAAGCAAUCGGAGCCGCCAGCACUCUGCCUCGCGCAGAGGACGGUGUCACGGGCUCAGAAGGGGACUUGCGAGCGAAGAGUGUCGGCGCGUGGUGGGGGCCCGUUCGCCGGGCCGCCGCCGCCGCCGCACGACACACACCUAGCUCCGACCUCGGAUCAGACGAGACUACCCGCUGAACUUAAGCAUAUCAGUAAGCGGAGGAAAAGAAACUAACAAGGAUUCCCUC